rnacentral:rRNA from 1 species
UGGAGGAAAGCAGGGGAUCGUAAGACCUUGCGCUUUUGGAGCGGCCGAUGUCUGAUUAGCUAGUUGGUGGGGUAAUGGCCUACCAAAGCUUCGAUCAGUAGCUGGUCUGAGAGGACGACCAGCCACACUGGGACUGAGACACGGCCCAGACUCCUACGGGAGGCAGCAGUGGGGAAUUUUGGACAAUGGGCGCAAGCCUGAUCCAGCCAUGCCGCGUGAGUGAAGAAGGCCUUCGGGUUGUAAAGCUCUUUCAGCCGGGAAGAAAAGGCUGCGACUAAUAAUCGCAGUUCAUGACGGUACCGGAAGAAGAAGCACCGGCUAACUACGUGCCAGCAGCCGCGGUAAUACGUAGGGUGCGAGCGUUAAUCGGAAUUACUGGGCGUAAAGGGUGCGCAGGCGGUUUUGUAAGUCAGAUGUGA